rnacentral:rRNA from 1 species
UACGUAGGUGGCAAGCGCUAUCCGGAUUUACUGGGCGUAAAGGGAACGCAGGCGGUCUUUUAAGUCUGAUGUGAAAGCCUUCGGCUUAACCGGAGUAGUGCAUUGGAAACUGGGAGACUUGAGUGCAGAAGAGGAGAGUGGAACUCCAUGUGUAGCGGUGAAAUGCGUAGAUAUAUGGAAGAACACCAGUGGCGAAAGCGGCUCUCUGGUCUGUAACUGACGCUGAGGUUCGAAAGCGUGGGUAGCAAACAGG